rnacentral:rRNA from 1 species
GAUGAACGCUGGCGGCGUGCCUAAUACAUGCAAGUCGAGCGAACAGACGAGGAGCUUGCUCCUCUGACGUUAGCGGCGGACGGGUGAGUAACACGUGGAUAACCUACCUAUAAGACUGGGAUAACUUCGGGAAACCGGAGCUAAUACCGGAUAAUAUAUUGAACCGCAUGGUUCAAUAGUGAAAGACGGAUUUGCUGUACCUUAUAGAUGGAUCCGCGUCGCAUUAGCUAGUUGGUAAGGUAACGGCUUACCAAGGCAACGAAGCGAAGCCGACCGAAGAGGGGGAUCGGCCAAACUGGAACUGGGACACGGUCCAAACCCCUACGGGGGGCAGAAGAAGGGAAUCUUGCGCAAUGGGGCAAAGCCGGACGGGGAAACGCCGGGUGGGGGAUGAAGGUCUUCGGAUGGUAGGACUCGUUUUAUAGGGAAAAAGAAAUGGGGAAGUAACUAUGCACGUCUUGACGGUACCUAAUCAGAAAGCCACGGCUAACUACGUG